CCCUUAGACGUUCUGGGCCGCACGCGCGCUACACUGACCAGUGCAACAAGCAUCCGUCCUUGGCCGACAGGCUCGGGCAAUCUUUGAACGCUGGUCGUGAUGGGGAUAGACUUUUGCAAUUUUUGGUCUUCAACGAGGAAUUCCUAGUAAACGCAAGUCAUCAACUUGCAUUGAUUACGUCCCUGCCCUUUGUACACACCGCCCGUCGCACCUACCGAUUGAAUGGUCCGGUGAAGCCUCCAGAUUGGCGCGCACCUCGGUGCCGCCGAGAAGUUGGCUAAACCUUACCAUUUAGAGGAAGGUGAAGUCGUAACA
rnacentral:rRNA from 1 species